rnacentral:rRNA from 1 species
UACGAAGGGUGCAAGCGUUACUCGGAAUUACUGGGCGUAAAGCGUGCGUAGGUGGUUUGUUAAGUCUGAUGUGAAAGCCCUGGGCUCAACCUGGGAAUUGCAUUGGAUACUGGCAGGCUAGAGUGCGGUAGAGGAUGGCGGAAUUCCCGGUGUAGCAGUGAAAUGCGUAGAGAUCGGGAGGAACAUCUGUGGCGAAGGCGGCGCACUGGACCACAACUGACGCUGAGGCGCGAAAGCUAGGGGAGCAAACAGG